UCAGGACGAACGCUGGCGGCGUGCCUAACACAUGCAAGUCGAACGGAGAUAUGAUUUCGGUUGUAUCUUAGUGGCGAACGGGUGAGUAACGCGUGAGCAACCUGACUCUUAGAGGGGGAUAACACUCGGAAACGAGUGCUAAUACCGCAUAAGACCACGACAUGGCAUCAUGACGAGGUCAAAGGAGCAAUCCGCUGAGAGAGGGGCUCGCGUCCCAUUAGAUAGAUGGCGGGGUAACGGCCCACCAUGUCAACGAUGGGUAGCCGAGCUGAGAGGCUGAUCGGCCACACUGGAACUGAGACACGGUCCAGACUCCUACGGGAGGCAGCAGUGGGGAAUAUUGGGCAAUGGGCGCAAGCCUGACCCAGCAACGCCGCGUGAGGGAAGAAGGCUUUCGGGUUGUAAACCUCUGUCCUUGGUGACGAAAAAAUGACGGUAGCCAAGGAGGAAGCCCCGGCUAACUACGUGCCAGCAGCCGCGGUAA
rnacentral:rRNA from 2 species